CAGAUUAUGAGUGCAUGAUAAAAAUUGUAUGCAAUGGAGCAAAUUAUUAUAAAUCCCUUAACGAAAUAUAUGAGUUCAAAUCACACAUAUAUAUAACUGAGGCCAGAAGUGGCAAAAUAUAAAAUAUCAAAGUACAAAAGGGACACUUCUUUCACUAUGUGAUUGGACUCAUCAGAGUGCGGGACAAGUCAUGCACUCA
rnacentral:lncRNA from 1 species